CCUACGGGAGGCAGCAGUGGGGAAUAUUGCACAAUGGGCGAAAGCCUGAUGCAGCGACGCCGCGUGAGGGAAGAAGGAUUUCGGUAUGUAAAGCUCUAUCAGCAGGGAAGAAAAUGACGGUACCUGAUUAAGAAGCACCGGCUAACUACGUGCCAGCAGCCGCGGUAAUGCGUAGGGGGCAAGCGUUAUCCGGAUUUACUGGGUGUAAAGGGGGCGUAGAGGGACGAACAGGUGCGGAGUGAAAUGCCGGGGCUUAACCCCGGAACUGCUUUGGAAACUGUGCAGCUAGAGUGCAGGAGAGGUAAGUGGAAUUCCUAGUGUAGCGGUGAAAUGCGUAGAUAUUAGGAGGAACACCAGUGGCGAAGGCGGCUUACUGGAACGGAACUGACGCUGAGGCACGAAAGCGUGGGGAGCAAACAGGAUUAGAUACCCUAGUAGUC
rnacentral:rRNA from 1 species